AGUGAACGCUGGCGGUAGGCCUAACACAUGCAAGUCGAACGGCAGCACAGUAAGAGCUUGCUCUUACGGGUGGCGAGUGGCGGACGGGUGAGGAAUACAUCGGAAUCUACUUUUUCGUGGGGGAUAACGUAGGGAAACUUACGCUAAUACCGCAUACGACCUACGGGCGAAAGCAGGGGAUCUUCGGACCUUGCGCGAUUGAAUGAGCCGAUGUCGGAUUAGCUAGUUGGCGGGGUAAGGGCCCACCAAGGCGACGAUCCGUAGCUGGUCUGAGAGGAUGAUCAGCGACACUGGAACUGAGACACGGUCCAGACUCCUACGGGAGGCAGCAGUGGGGAAUAUUGGACAAUGGGCGCAAGCCUGAUCCAGCCACACCGCGUGGGUGAAGAAGGCCUUCGGGUUGUAAAGCCCUUUUGUUGGGAAAGAAAAGCAGCAGGUUAAUACCCCGCUGUUCUGACGGUACCCAAAGAAUAAGCACCGGCUAACUUCGUG
rnacentral:rRNA from 1 species